UGUAGAGUUUAGAGAGAGAGAGAGAGAGAGAGAGAGGGGCGUAUAAUUGAUUUUCGUUUGGUGCGCAGACAUGUCUCAGGACUGCAAAUCUUUGCUAUAAAGAGCACGAGACAUGCUCUGCAACCCUGCGUUUAAUUCAUUGCCCCCAGCCAUUAAAGACACUCCCAAGCUUUCUUUUCUUUUUUUCAGCUUUUAUCCCCUUCAUGGUCGAUCAGGUUUCAUUUACAGAGCAGAGAGCCAUCCAUGCUUGCUAGACUCGCUAAUGGAUAAACAAGGACCUGUUCAAUUCAUGCUAUAAAUGAUCCGCGAGGUUUCGAUCAAAGCUCUUGAAAGCUGCAAAUUCAUGCUUUUUAAAAUGGUAAGGAUUCAGUCUGCGAGAUUUUGAUUGGAGCUCUUUGAAACUUGCAAAUUCAUGCUAUGAAUGGUUAGGAUUGAGCUGUUUAUGACUCCAUGACCAUUUCCUCGUGCAAAAUGUGCUUUAAGGAUUUUGAGUGACUAAGGUUCUGAAUCUCUCUGUGAAGCUCUGUAAAACCAGGUUUCAGGCGUUUUGAGGGCUUCUAAGUUCUCUGAUAGAGCUUGUGUAUGAAGAAGCAGCAGUUAGUGAAACUACAGUCUUGAAUUUGUAAAAGAAGUUUGAAGAGGAAGAAGAAGAAGCAAGCAGUUACAGUUCCAUCAAUGGAUCUGGUUUCGUUGGCAAUGAACAGGUAAGAGAGCUUUGAUUUAUUUGGAGAGCACUUUAAUGGAUUUUUGGAGCAAAACCCAUUAUAGAAACACAGUAGAAAAGGAGGGAUUCCAAUUCCAAGAGUGAGCAAAGGAACUUGCAGAAGGAGAAACAUUCAUGGUGGUGCUAAAGGACCAGUUCUCUGAGAAUUGUGAGCAAGAGACAAGCUGUAGUUGCAUAAACAUUGAGAAGGAGGAGUUCACAGGGCUCUGAAUCUAGAGACAUUCAAGUCUAAAUGCUAUAAGGGCCUCUUGUAUAAUGGCAUCAAACCUUGAAAUGGAGGAGCCUAGUAUAGACACUGAUAAGCUCAGCUAUGAAAUCUUCUCCAUCCUCGAGAGCAAGUUCCUCUUUGGCUACGACGAUCAAAAGCUAUGGAUCCCAAAGGACAUCGUCGAGACCAGCCCUGCAAAAACCGAGCAAGAACCAGCAACAGCCAUUAAAAGCCAGAGAGGAAAGGUGUGCGUGCUCAGUAUAGAUGGUUGUGGAAUGAGAGGGAUCAUUCCUGGUAAAGCCCUGGCUUAUCUUGAGCAAGCGAUCAAGAACAAGAGCGGUGACCCAGAUGCUAGAAUCGCCGAUUACUUUGAUGUAGCAGCUGGGUCGAGCAUCGGCGGCCUCUUCACUGCAAUGCUCUUCACUCGAGGGAAGAACAAUCGCCCUCUCUUUCGAGCUGACGAGACAUGGCGAUUCUUAGUGGAGAAAGGGGAGAGAAUGUUUGGGUUUGGAGGUGGGUUUCUCAAGAAGCUUUUCAAAGGGGGCACAGCCUCUGCAACUGCAGGAAUUGAACGGAUUGCGAAGGAGAUGUUCUCAGAGGAGGGUCGAAAUCUAACACUAAAGGAUACUCUCAAACCUGUUCUUGUGCCCUGUUAUGAUCUAUCAAGCUCAGCUCCUUUUCUUUUCUCGAGAGCUGAUGCUUUGGAGACAAGUAGCUUCGAUUUCAAUUUGUGGGAGGUUUGCAGGGCCACCAUGGCUCACCCUGCUCGCUUUGAGCCGAUCAUGAUGAGAUCAGUUGAUGGGCAAACGAGAUGCUUGGCAGUAGAUGGUGGCCUUGCAAUGAACAAUCCGACUGCUGCAGCAAUAACCCAUGUUUUGCAUAAUAAGCAGGAGUUUCCUUUUGUGAGGGGCGUUGAGGAUUUGCUUGUAUUGUCAUUGGGUAGCGGGCAAGAGGAGGGGAGCUAUGAGUAUGAGAGGGUGAGAAAGUGGAGGUUAAAAGAGUGGGCGAAGCCAUUGUUGAGGAUUGUUGGGGAGGGGGUCUCGGAUAUGGUGGAUCACGCGGUUUCCAUGGCGUUUGGACAGAGCAGGAGCAGUAACUAUGUUCGGGUCCAGGCAAAUGGUCUGAAUACGGGCAACUGUGCAGCCAACAUGGAUGAUGAUCCAGGACCCAGCAAUGCGAAGAAAUUGAUUAAAGUUGCAGAUGAUAUGUUGAAGCAGAAGAAUGUGGAGUCUGUUCUCUUUGGGGGCAAGAGAAUUGGGGAGCAAUUAAAUUACGAGAAGCUAGACUGGUUUGCUGGCGAACUGGUCGUGGAGCAUCAGAGGAGGAGCUGCAGAAUAGCUCCCACUGUUGCUUUCAAGCAAGCAACACCUAGGACCUCAUCCUUUGCUACCCCUGCAAGCUCCUAAGAGAUGUUCCCUACAGAUCGGGAAUGCAACUUGGAGCAUUAUUGUGGUAUCAAAAUUGCUAUUGUUAGAAGGCACUGCUUUCUCUUCCAGCGGGUUAGCAGUGGAAUUCAGAACUUGGGGUUAUGGAUCCCCGACGGUGUUGGUUGGUGGUAAUAUUAUGUGUUGCAUAUACAACGUGUUUCAUUGCAUAUUGGCAUAUCACUACCUAAAUGAGGAGGGGUCGUGUUCAUACUUCAAUUUUUACUGAGGCUGAUUAUGUCCAAUACUUGCAGUCAGGGCACACUCAUAAGUGCUUCAACAAAUUACGAAUUGAGGAAAAUGCUUUUAUCAGUCUAUGUAAUUUAUUAAAGGAGAUGACAAACAUUAUAAAUACAAAACAUUUGGCAAGUGAUGAAUAAGUAGCCAUAGUUUUAAGCACCGUCACACACGAUCAGCGGAAUAGGGUGGUCCAGGAACGGUUCCAACAUUGAGGGCAAACCAUAAGUUACUUUUGCCAUAGAGUUUUAAAAGCGAUCUUAAAAUUAGAACCCUUGUUCCUGCAAGCACCAAGCAAUGAAACACCUGCCCACAUUGCUGGUGAUACACUACGCUUUCACCCAUAUUUCAAGGUAUACGAGCGUAAGUAUUCCACAUUGUCGUUCUCACGUCCACUGAGAACUAAUAUAUAAUGGUGAUUGUUUGUCUUAAUAGGAUUGUGUCGGAGUUAUUACUUUCAAUUGAUAUUGUAUCCCAAAAAAUAAUAUUCUACAAAUUAAUAAAAAUAAAAAUAUGUAGGUCUCCAUUUUAACAUUUUACAUUUUGCCUAUUACUUAAAACUAAUCCAAUAUAGAUACUCAUAACUUCUUUAACUUCUUAGGAGGUUAUCAAACAUAGAAACCAGGAACUUCUUAGCUUCUCAAGAGGAUAUCAAACAUAGAAACCAGGAACGUCUUAACUUUCUAGGGAUGUUAUCAGACACAAAAACUAGGAACUUCUUAAGUAACUUCUAAUUUACAGUGAGGAACUUCCAAUUUGUGGUUCAUGAACUUGCUUCCAGUUAUCAAACAGGAAAAGAGAGCUUUUUAUGAAGAGAACCAUUAUGAUGGUGCCAAACAUGAGAAGAGAACUUCCUAUGAAGAGAAACAUUGUGAUGGUGCCUCUUGUAGAUUCUCGAAGAUUAAGAGGUUUGUUUUUUGUAGAGAAGCGGUUCCCAUAUAGAUUUUGGGCCGUUCACUUUUAGUUAGAGAGAAAGUUUCUCGUUGCUCUCGUCUCUAUCUGGUGUUGUUGGUAAUGGUUAUCAGAAGUAACCAGAAGGAAGGGAUGGUGGUUUAAAAGGGUUCGUUUGACUUGGUUUUUUUGUCCAGGUUUGUUUCAAAAUUGUUGCUGUAACUUUCAUUAGUAUAAUAGAUUUCAGUUUGCCGUGCC